rnacentral:miRNA from 1 species
GAAAAUAUCAUGAAUACGACAAU